UGAGGAAUAUUGGUCAAUGGGCGCAAGCCUGAACCAGCCAUCCCGCGUGCAGGAUGACGGCCCUAUGGGUUGUAAACUGCUUUUAUACAGGAAGAAAAAUCUCUACGUGUAGGGACUUGCCGGUACUGUAUGAAUAAGCAUCGGCUAACUCCGUGCCAGCAGCCGCGGUAAUACGGAGGAUGCAAGCGUUAUCCGGAUUCAUUGGGUUUAAAGGGUGCGUAGGCGGCUUUUUAAGUCAGUGGUGAAAUCCUGUCGCUCAACGAUAGAAUUGCCAUUGAUACUGAAAAGCUUGAGUUCAGUUGAGGUAAGCGGAAUGUGUAGUGUAGCGGUGAAAUGCUUAGAUAUUACACAGAACACCGAUUGCGAAGGCAGCUUACUAAACUGACACUGACGCUGAUGCACGAAAGCGUGGGGAUCGAACA
rnacentral:rRNA from 2 species